UCGAACGGAGCACCCUUGAAGGAGUUUUCGGACAACGGAUGGGAAUGCUUAGUGGCGGACUGGUGAGUAACGCGUGAGGAACCUGCCUUCCAGAGGGGGACAACAGUUGGAAACGACUGCUAAUACCGCAUGACGCAUUGGUGUCGCAUGGCACUGAUGUCAAAGAUUUAUCGCUGGAAGAUGGCCUCGCGUCUGAUUAGCUAGUUGGUGAGGUAACGGCCCACCAAGGCGACGAUCAGUAGCCGGACUGAGAGGUUGGCCGGCCACAUUGGGACUGAGAUACGGCCCAGACUCCUACGGGAGGCAGCAGUGGGGAAUAUUGGGCAAUGGACGCAAGUCUGACCCAGCAACGCCGCGUGAAGGAAGAAGGCUUUCGGGUUGUAAACUUCUUUUAAGGGGGAAGAGCAGAAGACGGUACCCCUUGAAUAAGCCACGGCUAACUACGUGCCAGCAGCCGCGGUAAUACGUAGGUGGCAAGCGUUGUCCGGAUUUACUGGGUGUAAAGGGCGUGCAGCCGGAGAGACAAGUCAGAUGUGAAAUCCACGGGCUCAACCCGUGAACUGCAUUUGAAACUGUUUCCCUUGAGUGUCGGAGAGGUAAUCGGAAUUCCUUGUGUAGCGGUGAAAUGCGUAGAUAUAAGGAAGAACACCAGUGGCGAAGGCGGAUUACUGGACGAUAACUGACGGUGAGGCGCGAAAGCGUGNGGAGCAAACAGGAUUAGAUACCCUGGNAGUCCACGCUGUAAACGAUCGAUACUAGGUGUGCGGGGACUGACCCCCUGCG
rnacentral:rRNA from 1 species